CUAAGCAUAUCAAUAAGCGGAGGAAAAGAAACCAACAGGGAUUGCCCUAGUAACGGCGAGUGAAGCGGCAACAGCUCAAAUUUGAAAUCUGGCUCUUUCAGGGUCCGAGUUGUAAUUUGCAGAGGGCGCUUUGGCUUUGGCAGCGGUCCAAGUUCCUUGGAACAGGACGUCACAGAGGGUGAGAAUCCCGUACGUGGUCGCUAGCUAUUGCCGUGUAAAGCCCCUUCGACGAGUCGAGUUGUUUGGGAAUGCAGCUCUAAAUGGGAGGUAAAUUUCUUCUAAAGCUAAAUACUGGCCAGAGACCGAUAGCGCACAAGUAGAGUGAUCGAAAGAUGAAAAGCACUUUGGAAAGAGAGUCAAACAGCACGUGAAAUUGUUGAAAGGGAAGCGCUUGCAGCCAGACUUGCUUGCAGUUGCUCAUCCGGACUUUUGUCCGGUGCACUCUUCUGCAGGCAGGCCAGCAUCAGUUUGGGCGGUGGGAUAAAGGUCUCUGUCACGUACCUCUCUUCGGGGAGGCCUUAUAGGGGAGACGACAUACCACCAGCCUGGACUGAGGUCCGCGCAUUUGCUAGGAUGCUGGCGUAAUGGCUGUAAGCGGCCCGUCUUGAAACACGGACCAAGGAGUCUAACAUCUAUGCGAGUGUUUGGGUGUCAAGCCCGAACGCGUAAUGAAAGUGAACGGAGGUGGGAACCCGCAAGGGUGCACCAUCGACCGAUCCUGAUGUCUUCGGAAGGAUUUGAGUAAGAGCAUGGCUGUUGGGACCCGAAAGAUGGUGAACUAUGCUUGAAUAGGGUGAAGCCAGAGGAAACUCUGGUGGAGGCUCGCAGCGGUUCUGACGUGCAAAUCGAUCGUCAAAUUUGGGCAUAGGGGCGAAAGACUAAUCGAACUAUCUAGUAGCUGGUUCCUGCCGAAG
rnacentral:rRNA from 1 species